UUCACACCAGUAGUAUUGUGUAACUGGUCGCGUUCUGUUGUUAAAGCGUUUCUCUGGUGUUAUGAGCGUACUAUUUUAGUGACGUACACCUGUUUUUUUUCCAAUUUGCAAAACAAAUCCAAGCUCUUUUAUUCAAAAUUAAAGUUCUUUCAAACUACAUUUCAAAAGGAAAAACUAACUAGAAUAUUAUGGAAAAGGAUCGACCGCCUAGUAUUAAAUGCGAGGAUUUCAGUAAUGAUGAACCAGAAGCCGCUGAUUCAUAUAAUGGUAAUUUUUUAUUGGUCACUCAUCACCAUAAAACCAAACCAGUUAAACAAAAAUGAACAAUGCGUAAGUUGCAAAUUGAGCCUAAUAAUUCACGGUAAUGACACGGUGGUAAUUUUCUGCAAAAACAAAUCUGGAUAUUGGAAUUUGUUUGUUGACAAACAAUAACCUAUGUUACAAAGUGAGUGGUUGAGUUUAAAUGGAUAAAAAUAUCUACACAUAGUUUUGGACGUUUUGAUGAUUUAUGCUAAUAAGAACACUGAACAGUUUGAUAGAGAAUUUUUUACCUUUGAGCAUCUUUGUAAUGUGUAUUGAUACUGUAUUCUUUGAAAUAUAUACAAUUCGGGUAAGAUCUUUACAAAAAAAUAUGCAGCUAUUUUCUUUAAAUAAAUAUGAAUUUCAUGUA